GACGAACCGUGCAAACGUUGUUCGGAAUCACUGGGCUUAAAGGGCGCGUAGGCGGGUUGGCCAGUCUAUGGUGAAAUCCCCCGGCUUAACCUGGGAACUGCGUCUGAUACUGGACGGCUUGAGUAUGGGAGAGGAACGUAGAAUUCCAGGUGUAGCGGUGAAAUGCGUAGAUAUCUGGAGGAAUACCGGUGGCGAAGGCGGCGUUCUGGACCAUUACUGACACUGAAUCGCGAAAGCUAGGGGAGCAAACGGG
rnacentral:rRNA from 1 species